GGGGAAUUUUGGACAAUGGGGGCAACCCUGAUCCAGCCAUGCCGCGUGAGUGUAGAAGGCCUUCGGGUUGUAAAGCUCUUUCGGCCGGAAAGAAAUCGUUCAGGCUAAUACCCUGUAUGGGUGACGGUACCGGAAUAAGAAGCACCGGCUAACUACGUGCCAGCAGCCGCGGUAAUACGUAGGGUGCGAGCGUUAAUCGGAAUUACUGGGCGUAAAGCGUGCGCAGGCGGUUGAUUAAGACAGGCGUGAAAUCCCCGGGCUUAACCUGGGAACUUGGUGUGUGAGGGGUCGGCUAGAGUACGGCAGAGGGGGGUGGAAUUCCACGUGUAGCAGAGAAAUGCGUAGAGAUGUGGAGGAACACCGAUGGCGAAGGCAGCCCCCUGGGCCGAUACUGACGCUCAUGCACGAAAGCGUGGGUAGCAAACA
rnacentral:rRNA from 1 species